rnacentral:rRNA from 1 species
CAUGUCUAAGUAUAAGCAAUUUAUACAGUGAAACUGCGAAUGGCUCAUUAAAUCAGUUAUCGUUUAUUUGAUAGUACCUUACUACUUGGAUAACCGUGGUAAUUCUAGAGCUAAUACAUGCUUAAAAUCCCGACUGUUUGGAAGGGAUGUAUUUAUUAGAUAAAAAAUCAAUGUCUUCGGACUCUUUGAUGAUUCAUAAUAACUUUUCGAAUCGCAUGGCCUUGUGCUGGCGAUGGUUCAUUCAAAUUUCUGCCCUAUCAACUUUCGAUGGUAGGAUAGUGGCCUACCAUGGUUUCAACGGGUAACGGGGAAUAAGGGUUCGAUUCCGGAGAGGGAGCCUGAGAAACGGCUACCACAUCCAAGGAAGGCAGCAGGCGCGCAAAUUACCCAAUCCCGACACGGGGAGGUAGUGACAAUAAAUAACGAUACAGGGCCCUUUCGGGUCUUGUAAUUGGAAUGAGUACAAUGUAAAUACCUUAACGAGGAACAAUUGGAGGGCAAGUCUGGUGCCAGCAGCCGCGGUAAUUCCAGCUCCAAAAGCGUAUAUUAAAGUUGUUGCAGUUAAAAAGCUCGUAGUUGAACCUUGGGCUUGGUUGGCCGGUCCAUCUUUCUGAUGCGUACUGGACCCAACCGAGCCUUUCCUUCUGGCUAGCCUUUUGGCGAACCAGGACUUUUACUUUGAAAAAAUUAGAGUGUUCAAAGCAGGCCUUUGCUCGAAUAUAUU